rnacentral:lncRNA from 1 species
GUUAAAUAAGCAAACCAUGCCGCUUCAAGUUGAAUCAGAUGACGUGUUUGAAUGUACCCAUGGUUAUACAUCUCAGAAGCUAUAACUCUGGUCAAGAUGACAACUUGUUGUCUAUUUUUACAUUUAUAGGGAAUUUUCAAAAUAAUGUGCAUUCAGGUGACAUGAGACUUAUAGCACCAUUUCCUGUAUUAGGUAUAAGCUGCUGCUCUUGCCAAUUCUUAGCAAAAAUGAAAUUGAUGUGUUAUGUAUUCCUUAAUGCAAUCAACAUGGGGAGUAAAUGAGGAGUCUUUUCCUUCCAAUCUACGUAGUGUUUUGUGAUCUGAAAAGUAGAGCAAAAACACAUUAUUAUAGAUUAUAGUAUUUAAAGAAUAUAAAUAUUUGAACCUAUUUUUAUUAUAGAAUAUAAAUAUUUUACUCGUAAAAAAAGAGUAUCAAUAUUUGAAACUAUUUUUUUCAUCUCCCAUGGAUGAAUUAGGAAAUAUAAAGAUAAUUUACAAAUCCAGUCAUUCUAAUCAUGGAUUCUUGCUAAUGAAGUACAAUAUCUGAGGGAAAGAUGUUCUUCCAAAGAGUAAAUCACUGUUACAAAUACAUAUUGAGAGUGAAAGAUUAAAAUUACAGGUGCAUAAUCUUACAGAUUCAAUUCUGAAAGUCAUUUCGAAUGCCAAAUCUUCAGUAGCAACAAUGAUAAUCACUUGUAUACUGAGAAUACAGAUUCAGCCGCAACAACGAUAAUCAUUUGUAUACUGAGAAUACAGAUAUCGGGAGUCAAUGGUUGUUUCUUGUAAGACUAUACAGAUAUAGUACCAUGCUGAAAGCGUAAGCUAUUGGCAACAAAUGUUCAAGGCUCUCAUGCUCGUAGCCUUUCUUAUAGUUUCGGUGUAACGGUGUAAGUAUGCACACAUCACUACUACUUCACUAUCAGUUGUUGGGAUCGAAAAUUACUAAAUUAGUAAUCAUAUAACCAAAAUUUGAUCGAUAAAACUAUAGCACUGCAGCAUGGUACCUGGUAUUUAUCUGUUCUGCUAGGCCUUCAGAAAACCUGAAUCUCUG